UACGUAGGGGGCUAGCGUUGUCCGGAAUCAUUGGGCGUAAAGCGCGUGUAGGCGGUCCGGUAAGUCCGCUGUGAAAGUCGAGGGCUCAACCCUCGAAUGCCGGUGGAAACUGUCGGGCUAGAGUGCGGAAGAGGCGAGUGGAAUUCCUGGUGUAGCGGUGAAAUGCGCAGAUAUCAGGAGGAACACCUAUUGCGAAGGCAGCUCGCUGGGACGUUACUGACGCUGAGACGCGAAAGCGUGGGGAGCAAACAGG
rnacentral:rRNA from 1 species